rnacentral:rRNA from 1 species
UCGGGAAUUUUGGGCAAUGGGCGAAAGCCUGACCCAGCAACGCCGCGUGAAGGAUGAAGUAUUUCGGUAUGUAAACUUCGAAAGAAUAGGAAGAAUAAAUGACGGUACUAUUUAUAAGGUCCGGCUAACUACGUGCCAGCAGCCGCGGUAAUACGUAGGGACCAAGCGUUGUUCGGAUUUACUGGGCGUAAAGGGCGCGUAGGCGGCAAUUCAAGUCAUCUGUGAAAUCUCCGGGCUUAACUCGGAACGGUCAGAUGAUACUGCUUUGCUAGAGUGCAGAAGGGGCAAUCGGAAUUCCUGGUGUAGCGGUGAAAUGCGUAGAUAUCAAGAGGAACACCUGAGGUGAAGACGGGUUGCUGGGCUGACACUGACGCUGAGGCGCGAAAGCCAGGGGAGCAAACGGGAUUAGAUACCCGCGUAGUCCCUGAGCGGGCUGGCAAGGCGCAU